CCUACGGGAGGCAGCAGUGGGGAAUAUUGGGCAAUGGAGGCAACUCUGACCCAGCAAUGCCGCGUGAAUGAUGAAGGUCUUCGGAUUGUAAAGUUCUGUGAUGGGGGAUGAACACAAUGACGGUACCCCAAUAGCAAGCCACGGCUAACUACGUGCCAGCAGCCGCGGUAAUACGUAGGUGGCAAGCGUUAACCGGAAUGACUGGGCGUAAAGGGUGCGUAGGUGGUUUAGUAAGUUGGCGGUGUAAUUCCGGGGCUCAACCUCGGCGCUACCGCCAAAACUAUUAGACUAGAGUGUAGGAGGGGUAAGUGGAAUUCCUAGUGUAGCGGUGGAAUGCGUAGAGAUUAGGAGGAACAUCAGGGGCGAAGGCGACUUACUGGACUGUAACUGACACUGAGGUACGAAAGCGUGGGGAGCAAACAGGAUUAGAUACCCUGGUAGUC
rnacentral:rRNA from 1 species